UCUGGUUCAGAACGAACGCUGGCGGCGUGCUUAACACAUGCAAGUCGAACGCGAAAGGGACUUCGGUCCUGAGUAAAGUGGCGCACGGGUGAGUAACGCGUAGAUAACCUGUCUUCAUGUCUGGAAUAAUACGCCGAAAGGGGUACUAAUACCGGAUAUUCUUGCUUUUCAUAAGUUAUGCAAGCAAAGGUGGCCUCUGCAUAUGCUACUGCAUGAAGAGGGGUCUGCGUACCAUUAGCUAGUAGGUGGGGUAAUGGCCUACCUAGGCGACGAUGGUUAGCGGGUCUGAGAGGAUGAUCCGCCACACUGGCACUGGAACACGGGCCAGACUCCUACGGGAGGCAGCAGUGAGGAAUAUUGCGCAAUGGGGGAAACCCUGACGCAGCGACGCCGCGUGAGUGAGGAAGGCCUUCGGGUCGUAAAGCUCUGUCAAGAGGAAAGAAGUGUACAAUGGCUAAUACCUGUUGUAUUUGACGGUACCUCUAAAGGAAGCACCGGCUAACUCCGUGCCAGCCGCCGC
rnacentral:rRNA from 1 species